rnacentral:rRNA from 1 species
AUGACAGGACAAGCAUGGUUUACAAGAUGGGAUAGGAGACCAUAUGUUACAAAUAUCAGACCACCUAGACCACUGCCAGAGGAGUCAAGCUUUGUAGCUGCAGCUUGGGAUUUGAUCCUUCAAAGGACGAGGCAAACAACUGCAACAACUGCUGGUAGAAGGGCAAGCAAAGGUAAAAGAAGGGCAACAAUAGCAGUUCAAACAAAUGUAGAUGAGGUAGGUACCAGUUCAAGUGCAGGUAGAGUAGCGAAGAAAGCAAGAGGUGGAAGAGCUGGGAGGAGUGCAAGAGGAGUAGGAGCAGAAGAAACUGCAAGAGGAGUAGGACCAGAAGCAGCUAGAAGAGGAGCUGGGGAAGGAGGAAGAAUAGUUGAAGGUUAUCCUCUAUGGCAACUGCUGUUUGGACAUGAUGGAGCAAGGAAUGCAAUCCCAGACCUGAAUGAAGAGAUUCCAAUGACACAGAAUGCUCCUAGGACUCCAUAA